rnacentral:rRNA from 1 species
CCGCAAGGCUAAAACCCAAAGGAAUUGACGGGGGCUUACACAAGCGGUGGAGCAUGUGGUUUAAUUCGAAACAACGCGCAAAACCUUACCAAUCCUUGACAUAUGAAAAACCAGGGUGUUUACCCGCUCUGUCUCUUUUAUACAGGUGCUGCAUGGCUGUCGUCAGUUCGUGGUGUGAGCUGUUGGGUUAAGUCCCAGAACGAACGCAACCCUCCUUUGAAAUGAAGGUUUACCUUUUUCAAAGACUGCCAAGGAUAUCUUGGAGGAAGGUGAGGAUGACGUCAAGUCCGCAUGGCCCUUAUGGGUUGGGCUACACACGUGCUACAAUGGGAAUGACAAAAGGAGGCAACAUGGCAACAUUGAGCAAAUCCCAAAAAGUUUCCUUAGUUCGGAUUGUUCUCUGCAACUCGAGAACAUGAAGUUGGAAUCGCUAGUAAUCGUAGAUCAGCACGCUACGGUGAAUUUGUAUCUAAGCCUUGUACACACCGCCCGUCACACUCUGAAAAUUUUCAUGCCUUGAAGCAAAAGAAGUUCACCAAGAACACACAGCGCAAUUAAAAAAAAACAUCUUCCCUUUUUUUUUCUGUGUCUUUGUUGGAACCUUUUCUAGAGUUAGGGAGGUGAUUGGAGUG